rnacentral:rRNA from 1 species
GGAAAGCCUGACGGAGCAAUACCGCGUGAGGGAUGACGGCCUUGGGGGUUGUAAACCUCUUUUAUCAAGGAGGAAGUUCUGACGUGUACUUGAUGAAUAAGCAUCGGCUAACUCCGUGCCAGCAGCCGCGGUAAGACGGAGGAUGCAAGUGUUGUCCGGAAUCACUGGGCGUAAAGCGUCUGUAGGUGGUUUAAAAAGUCUGCUGUUAAAAGUUGAAGCUUAACUUCAAAGAUGCCGUAGAAACUUUUAAACUAGAGGAUGGUAGGGGUAGAGGGAAUUUCCAGUGGAGCGGUAAAAUGCGUAGAUCUUGGAAAGACCACCAAUGGCGAAGGCACUCUACUGGGCCAUUACUGACACUGAGAGACGAAAGCUAGGGGAGCAAAUGGGAUUAGAUACCCCAGUAGUCCUAGCUGUAAACGAUGGAUACUAGAUGUUGUGUGUAUUGACCCAUGCAGUAUUGUAGCUAACGCGUUAAGUAUCCCGCCUGGGAAGUAUGCUCGCAAGAGUG